GUCUAUUUAGAGAGAAUUUUGAGAAAACCUGAAAUUGAUGCAUUUGCUGAAGAAUUAAAAGCACAUCAGAAAGCUCUUUUGCCAGACAAUUUUACUGUUCUGGAUCGUGCUAUGAUUGAGCACAAUCUUCUGAGUGCAAGUAAACUUUACACAAAUAUAAGUUUUGAUGAAUUGGGCACCUUGCUGGGAAUUCUUCCAAAUAAGGCAGAAAAGAUAGCAUCAAGAAUGAUUUAUGAGGAUAGAAUGAGGGGAUCAAUUGAUCAGGUGGAAGCUGUCAUUCACUUUGAGGAUGAUUCUGAAGAGCUGCAGCAAUGGGAUCAACAGAUUGUUGGCUUGUGUCAGGCCUUGAAUGAUAUCCUGGAUAGCAUGGCGAAAAAGGGCUUAUCGAUCAAUCCCUGUGUGAGUUAUUUUUUUUUUCUUUUAACUAGUCAGCAGAUAGAAAUGAAUUUCUUGCACAAAAAGCUUAAAAGACGACUAGUCCAUGAUAAUAGCAUUAUUUUGUGAAAGUUAUGAUUGUAGUUUUUUGUUACCUUUUUUUGUGGUCAAGAAAAUUCAGAAUUAACUUUACCAAUUUUAGUGAUCCAUUCUUGGUUUAUUUUUUCACCUGCGUGCUUUUUUGGGGGUGGAUAUUAAAAAAUAAAUGAAAUAUC
rnacentral:misc_RNA from 1 species